AGGACGAACGCUGGCGGCGUGCUUAACACAUGCAAGUCGAGCGAGGCCCUUCCUUCGGGAAGGAGCCCUAGCGGCGAACGGGUGAGUAACACGUGGGCAACCUGCCCCUAGCACUGGGAUAACUCCGGGAAACCGGGGCUAAUACCGGAUAUGACCUUUGAGGGCAUCCUCUCUGGUGUAAAGGAUUCUGGCUAGGGAUGGGCCCGCGGCCUAUCAGCUUGUUGGUGGGGUAACGGCCUACCAAGGCGACGACGGGUAGCCGGCCUGAGAGGGCGACCGGCCACACUGGGACUGAGACACGGCCCAGACUCCUACGGGAGGCAGCAGUGGGGAAUAUUGCACAAUGGGCGAAAGCCUGAUGCAGCGACGCCGCGUGAGGGAUGACUGCCUUCGGGUUGUAAACCUCUUUCAGCAGGGACGAAGCGAAAGUGACGGUACCUGCAGAAGAGCACCGGCAACUACGCGCCAGCAGCCGC
rnacentral:rRNA from 1 species